ensembl:lncRNA novel transcript
AGAAGAAAUGUAAAAGCAGAGAUGUGAACAAGAGAUAGAGUGCAUCUUUGUUGCUUGGGUGCUCCCCCUGUUGUCCAAUGGCAGAAGCUCCACGUCUUCCUCUGAGGGCUGAAUCUGGUUCUACUUGUGCCCAUUGGAUCCUCUUAUUGAUGAGGGUUACAAAGGCCGAGAUUGGCCUGCCAGAGAGACCCACAGCACCUCUUCAGACUUACUACCUUCUUUCCUUUCCUUCUUUUGACAAAUAUGUAUUGAGCACUCCUAGUCCAGGAAUUGUACCAAAUGCCCAGAAUAUAAAUGAACAAGACAUGGUCCUCAACCACCACCCUAGAGACAGGCAUAAAAAGAACUGACAGUAACAAGCCCCUAAUUUCAUGUAGUAAAUUAUAUCUAAUAAAGUGCCUUCGCUUUUCAUGGA